UACAGAGGUCCCAAGCGUUGUUCGGAUUCACUGGGCGUAAAGGGUGCGUAGGUGGUGAGGUAAGUCGGAUGUGAAAGCUCGGAGCUCAACUCCGAAAUGGCAUUGGAAACUACCUCGCUAGAGGAUCGGAGGGGAGACUGGAAUUCUCGGUGUAGCAGUGAAAUGCGUAGAUAUCGAGAGGAACACCAGUGGCGAAGGCGAGUCUCUGGACGAUUCCUGACGCUGAGGCACGAAGGCCAGGGGAGCAAACGGG
rnacentral:rRNA from 1 species